rnacentral:misc_RNA from 1 species
AAAGUCGUAACAAGGUCUCCGUUGGUGAACCAGCGGAGGGAUCAUUACUGAGUUUACGCACUCCCAACCCUUCGCGGACCUACAGAACGUUGCCUCGGCGGGCCCGCCCGCCGAAGGCCAGCCAAAAAAAAAACUCUUCUAUAAUGGAAACCUGAGUGGCGCAGACGAAAUAAGUCAAAACUUUCAGCAACGGAUCUCUUGGUUCUG